AUUGAACGCUGGCGGCAGGCCUAACACAUGCAAGUCGAGCGGAUGAAGGGAGCUUGCUCCUGGAUUCAGCGGCGGACGGGUGAGUAAUGCCUAGGAAUCUGCCUGGUAGUGGGGGAUAACGUCCGGAAACGGGCGCUAAUACCGCAUACGUCCUGAGGGAGAAAGUGGGGGAUCUUCGGACCUCACGCUAUCAGAUGAGCCUAGGUCGGAUUAGCUAGUUGGUGGGGUAAAGGCCUACCAAGGCGACGAUCCGUAACUGGUCUGAGAGGAUGAUCAGUCACACUGGAACUGAGACACGGUCCAGACUCCUACGGGAGACAGCAGUGGGGAAUAUUGGACAAUGGGCGAAAGCCUGAUCCAGCCAUGCCGCGUGUGUGAAGAAGGUCUUCGGAUUGUAAAGCACUUUAAGUUGGGAGGAAGGGCAGUAAGUUAAUACCUUGCUGUUUUGACGUUACCAACAGAAUAAGCACCGGCUAACUUUGUG
rnacentral:rRNA from 1 species